rnacentral:rRNA from 1 species
GACAGAGGGUGCAAACGUUGCUCGGAAUUACUGGGCGUAAAGCGCGUGUAGGCUGACCUUCAAGUCGGACGUGAAAUCCCUGAGCUCAACUCAGGAACUGCAUCCGAAACUGAAGGCCUAGAGUAGUGGAGAGGGAAGCAGAAUUCCUGGUGUAGAGGUGAAAUUCGUAGAUAUCAGGAGGAACACCGGUGGCGAAGGCGG